rnacentral:other from 1 species
UUUAGCCUGAGAUGUGCGAUAACUUUUGUUUAUUUUGAACCUACGCUACUUUAAACGGGAUUCCUACAUUGCCAAGUGGCUGUCAAGCCCUCACUGCACUUUGGGUGGAGGAUUGGAAGGGAAGGCAAAAGCUUUGGUUGCGGUUACCCACCUAGCAUUGCUAGGAGUCAGAGAGCAGAAGGCGGCAUUUUGGGCCAUAA